GAAGAAUUAGUUAAUUUAUAACAUUAGAUUGUCAAACUAAAAUAAUCACUAAGAUAUUCUUCU
rnacentral:tRNA from 2 species